rnacentral:rRNA from 1 species
UACGUAGGGUGCGAGCGUUGUCCGGAAUUAUUGGGCGUAAAGGGCUCGUAGGCGGUUUGUCGCGUCGGGAGUGAAAACCCAGGGCUUAACCCUGGGCUGGCUUCCGAUACGGGCAGACUAGAGGUAUGCAGGGGAGAACGGAAUUCCUGGUGUAGCGGUGAAAUGCGCAGAUAUCGGGAGGAACACCAGUAGCGAAGGCGGCUCGCUGGGCCAUUCCUGACGCUGAGACGCGAAAGCGUGGGAGCAACAG